GUGGGGAAUAUUGGGCAAUGGGGGAAACCCUGACCCAGCAACGCCGCGUGAGGGAAGAAGGUUUUCGGAUUGUAAACCUCUGUCCUAAGGGAAGAAGGAAGUGACGGUACCUUAGGAGGAAGCCCCGGCUAACUACGUGCCAGCAGCCGCGGUAAUACGUAGGGGGCGAGCGUUGUCCGGAAUUAUUGGGCGUAAAGGGUGCGUAGGCGGCGAAGCAAGUCAGAUGUGAAAGACCACGGCUUAACUGUGGGGGUGCAUUUGAAACUGUUUUGCUAGAGUGCAGGAGAGGGAAGCGGAAUUCCUAGUGUAGCGGUGAAAUGCAUAGAUAUUAGGAGGAACACCAGUGGCGAAGGCGGCUUUCUGGACUGUAACUGACGCUGAGGCACGAAAGCGUGGGGAGCAAACAGGA
rnacentral:rRNA from 1 species